UGGCGAACGGGGUGAGUAACACGUGGGCAACCUGCCCAAAAGAGGGGGAUAACACUUGGAAACAGGUGCUAAUACCGCAUAACCAUAGUUACCGCAUGGUAACUAUGUAAAAGGUGGCUAUACUACCGCUUUUGGAUGGGCCCGCGGCGCAUCAGCUAGUUGGUAGGGUAAAGGCUUACCAAGGCAAUGAUGCGUAGCCGAAUUGAGAGGUUGAUCGGCCACAUUGGGACUGAGACACGGCCCAAACUCCUACGGGAGGCAGCAG
rnacentral:rRNA from 1 species